rnacentral:rRNA from 1 species
AUUGAACGCUGGCGGCAGGCCUAACACAUGCAAGUCGAACGAGCGGCGGACGGGUGAGUAAUGUCUGGGCAACUGCCCGAUGGAGGGGGAUAACUACUGGAAACGGUAGCUAAUACCGCAUACCAUCGGAUGUGCCCAUAUGGGAUUAGCUAGUAGGUGGGGUAAAGGCUCACCUAGGCGACGAUCCCUAGCUGGUCUGAGAGGAUGAACAGCCACACUGGAACUGAGACACGGUCCAGACUCCUACGGGAGGCAGCAGUAGGGAAUAUUGCGCAAUGGGCGCAAGCCUGAUGCAGCCAUGCCGCGUGUAUGAAGAAGGCCUUAGGGUUGUAAAGUACUUUCAGCGGGGAGGCGUUACCCGCAGAAGAAGCACCGGCUAACUCCGUGCCAGCAGCCGCGGUAAUAC